AAAAAGAUAAGUUAACUAAACUACUGGGUUCAUACCCCAAUCAUAAAGGUUUUACCCCUUUUCUUUUUA
rnacentral:tRNA from 1 species